rnacentral:rRNA from 1 species
GACGAACGCUGGCGGCGUGCUUAACACAUGCAAGUCGAACGGAAAGGCCCUGCUUUUGUGGGGUGCUCGAGUGGCGAACGGGUGAGUAACACGUGAGUAACCUGCCCUUGACUUUGGGAUAACUUCAGGAAACUGGGGCUAAUACCGGAUAGGAGCUCCUGCUGCAUGGUGGGGGUUGGAACGUUUCGGCGGUUGGGGAUGGACUCGCGGCUUAUCGGCUUGUUGGUGGGGGAGUGGCUUACCAAGGCUUUGACCGGUAGCGGGCCGGAGUGGGGGCCCGGCCACACUGGAGCGGAGACAGGGACCAGACGCCGACGGUGGGCAGCAGGGGGGAAGGUGGGGCAAUGGGGGGAAGUCUGAGCCAGCGAUACCGCGGGUGUGAAGAAGGCCCUCGGGUGGGAAAGCCCUUGUGUGGGGAAAGAAAAGCAGCGGGGUAAGACCCCGCUGGGCGGACGGUACCCAAAGAAUAAGCACCGGCUAACUUCGUG